CCCAGACUCCUACGGGAGGCAGCAGUGGGGGAUAUUGCACAAUGGGGGAAACCCUGAUGCAGCGACGCCGCGUGGGCGAAGAAGUAUUUCGGUAUGUAAAGCCCUAUCAGCAGGGAAGAAGAAAUGACGGUACCUGAGUAAGAAGCACCGACUAAAUACGUGCCAGCAGCCGCGGUAAUACGUAUGGUGCAAGCGUUAUCCGGAUUUACUGGGUGUAAAGGGAGCGUAGACGGCGAAGAAAGUCUGAAGUGAAAGCCCGCGGCUCAACCGCGGAACUGCUUUGGAAACUUUUUUGCUGGAGUACCGGAGAGGUAAGCGGAAUUCCUAGUGUAGCGGUGAAAUGCGUAGAUAUUAGGAGGAACACCAGUGGCGAAGGCGGCUUACUGGACGGUAACUGACGUUGAGGCUCGAAAGCGUGGGGAGCAAACAGGAUUAGAUACCCUAGUA
rnacentral:rRNA from 1 species